rnacentral:misc_RNA from 1 species
UGUGGGAGCGGGCUUGCUCGCGAAUGCGGUGUGUCAGUUAACGCAAGUAUUGACUGAUCCAACGCCUUCGCGAGCAAGCCCGCUCCCACA